rnacentral:rRNA from 1 species
UACGUAGGGUGCAAGCGUUAAUCGGAAUUACUGGGCGUAAAGCGUGCGCAGGCGGUUUUGUAAGUCUGUCGUGAAAAUCCCCGGGCUCAACCUGGGAAUUGCGAUGGAGACUGCAAGGCUAGAAUCUGGCAGAGGGGGUAGAAUUCCACGUGUGAGCAGUGAAAUGCGUAGAGAUGUGGAGGAACACCGAUGGCGAAGGCAGCCCCCUGGGUCAAGAUUGACGCUCAUGCACGAAGGCGUGGGAGCAAACGAAGAUUAGAGUACCCAGAUGUGCCAU